GCCGCCGUAGUGUAGGGGUUAACACGCCGGCCUGUGGAGCCGGAGAACCCGGGUUCAAAUCCCGGCGGCGGCC
rnacentral:tRNA from 1 species